CUGAUACAGAAUUAGUGGUGUUUCAUGCAAAACAAUAAAUGCCUUUUAUCGCGAGACUUGCGAACUUGAAAACAAUAUGAUGACCUCACAAGCUAUUGCACAGUGGCAGACUAUAAAGCCAUGCAGUAGAAAUAUUUAAAUGCAUGUUUUAAUGCGUGCUUGGAAAACACAAACAAAUAAACAUCGAUAAACCUAAAGUCUAAACAGUUACCAUUUGUCCUGUAGGCUUGUUUAAUUACAACAAAAAUGUUUCUAAGACGCCAUGUUUACAUCAUGUUGUUCGGCCGAGCCGGUAUAUUAUAGGUCGGAUAAAAACAGUCCUAUAAAGACAGAAUUCAUCGUACUCAGGUCAGUUUCUCG